rnacentral:piRNA from 1 species
UAAGGACCUUCCUACCUGUCUGUUGCA